GGCCUCUCUCCCAUGGGAUUGUGGAGGGUCCCUUUCCUCCUCUGUCAAGGGUGAAAGCCAAGAUCAGCCCUCGAGGAUCAUCGUCAGAACUGCUGCAAGCCAGGCAGCCUUGUUUUUCGACCUCAGACGCUU
rnacentral:snoRNA from 1 species